rnacentral:rRNA from 1 species
UGGGGAAUUUUGGACAAUGGGGGCAACCCUGAUCCAGCAAUGCCGCGUGUGUGAAGAAGGCCUUCGGGUUGUAAAGCACUUUUGUCCGGGAAGAAAUCCCCUGCCCUAAUACGGCGGGGGAUGACGGUACCGGAAGAAUAAGCACCGGCUAACUACGUGCCAGCAGCCGCGGUAAUACGUAGGGUGCGAGCGUUAAUCGGAAUUACUGGGCGUAAAGCGUGCGCAGGCGGUGAUGUAAGACCGAUGUGAAAUCCCCGGGCUCAACCUGGGAACUGCAUUGGUGACUGCAUUGCUCGAGUAUGGCAGAGGGGGGUGGAAUUCCACGUGUAGCAGUGAAAUGCGUAGAGAUGUGGAGGAACACCGAUGGCGAAGGCAGCCCCCUGGGCCAAUACUGACGCCCAUGCACGAAAGCGUGGGGAGCAAACAGGAUUAGAUACCCUGGUAGUCCACGCCCUAAACGAUGUCAACUGGUUGUCGGGCCUUCAUUGGCUUGGUAACGUAGCUAACGCGUGAAGUUGACCGCCUGGGGGAGUACGGUCGCAGGAUUAAAACUUAAAU